rnacentral:rRNA from 1 species
GGGGGGACCAUCCUCCAAGGCUAAAUACUCCUGACUGACCGAUAGUGAACCAGUACCGUGAGGGAAAGGCGAAAAGAACCCCGGCGAGGGGAGUGAAAAAGAACCUGAAACCGUGUACGUACAAGCAGUGGGAGCACAGGUUUACCUGUGUGACUGCGUACCUUUUGUAUAAUGGGUCAGCGACUUAUAUUCUGUAGCAAGGUUAACCGUAUAGGGGAGCCGUAGGGAAACCGAGUCUUAAUUGGGCGUUAAGUUGCAGGGUAUAGACCCGAAACCCGGUGAUCUAGCCAUGGGCAGGUUGAAGGUUGGGUAACACUAACUGGAGGACCGAACCGACUAAUGUUGAAAAAUUAGCGGAUGACCUGUGGCUGGGGGUGAAAGGCCAAUCAAACCGGGAGAUAGCUGGUUCUCCCCGAAAGCUAUUUAGGUAGCGCCUCGUGAAUUCAUCUCCGGGGGUAGAGCACUGUUUCGGCUAGGGGGCCAUCCCGGCUUACCAACCCGAUGCAAACUGCGAAUACCGGAGAAUGUUAUCACGGGAGACACACGGCGGGUGCUAACGUCCGUCGUGAAGAGGGAAACAACCCAGACCGCCAGCUAAGGUCCCAAAGUCAUGGUUAAGUGGGAAACGAUGUGGGAAGGCCCAGACAGCCAGGAUGUUGGCUUAGAAGCAGCCAUCAUUUAAAGAAAGCGUAAUAGCUCACUGGUCGAGUCGGCCUGCGCGGAAGAUGUAACGGGGCUAAACCAUG